UACGAAGGGGGCUAGCGUUGCUCGGAAUUACUGGGCGUAAAGGGCGCGUAGGCGGAUGUUUAAGUCAGAGGUGAAAGCCCAGGGCUCAACCUUGGAACUGCCUUUGAUACUGGGCAUCUUGAGUAUGGGAGAGGUGAGUGGAACUCCGAGUGUAGAGGUGAAAUUCGUAGAUAUUCGGAAGAACACCAGUGGCGAAGGCGACUCACUGGCCCAUUACUGACGCUGAGGCACGAAAGCGUGGGGAGCAAACAGG
rnacentral:rRNA from 1 species